rnacentral:rRNA from 1 species
UUUAACACGAAGUGAGUGGCGGACGGGUGAGUAACACGUGGGUAACCUGCCCAGAAGCAGGGGAUAACACCUGGAAACAGAUGCUAAUACCGUAUAACAGAGAAAACCGCCUGGUUUUCUUUUAAAAGAUGGCUCUGCUAUCACUUCUGGAUGGACCCGCGGCGCAUUAGCUAGUUGGUGAGGUAACGGCUCACCAAGGCGAUGAUGCGUAGCCGACCUGAGAGGGUAAUCGGCCACAUUGGGACUGAGACACGGCCCAGACUCCUACGGGAGGCAGCAGUAGGGAAUCUUCCACAAUGGACGCAAGUCUGAUGGAGCAACGCCGCGUGAGUGAAGAAGGGUUUCGGCUCGUAAAGCUCUGUUGUUAAAGAAGAACGUGGGUGAGAGUAACUGUUCACCCAGUGACGGUAUUUAACCAGAAAGCCACGGCUAACUACGUGCCAGCAGCCGCGGUAAUACGUAGGUGGCAAGCGUUAUCCGGAUUUAUUGGGCGUAAAGCGAGCGCAGGCGGUCUUUUAAGUCUAAUGUGAAAGCCUUCGGCUCAACCGAAGAAGUGCAUUGGAAACUGGGAGACUUGAGUGCAGAAGAGGACAGUGGAACUCCAUGUGUAGCGGUGAAAUGCGUAGAUAUAUGGAAGAACACCAGUGGCGAAGGCGGCUGUCUGGUCUGUAACUGACGCUGAGGCUCGAAAGCAUGGGUAGCGAACAGGAUUAGAUACCCUGGUAGUCCAUGCCGUAAACGAUGAUUACUAAGUGUUGGAGGGUUUCCGCCCUUCAGUGCUGCAGCUAACGCAUUAAGUAAUCCGCCUGGGGAGUACGACCGCAAGGUUGAAACUCAAAAGAAUUGACGGGGGCCCGCACAAGCGGUGGAGCAUGUGGUUUAAUUCGAAGCUACGCGAAGAACCUUACCAGGUCUUGACAUCUUCUGCCAACCUAAGAGAUUAGGCGUUCCCUUCGGGGACAGAAUGACAGGUGGUGCAUGGUUGUCGUCAGCUCGUGUCGUGAGAUGUUGGGUUAAGUCCCGCAACGAGCGCAACCCUUAUUACUAGUUGCCAGCAUUCAGUUGGGCACUCUAGUGAGACUGCCGGUGACAAACCGGAGGAAGGUGGGGACGACGUCAAAUCAUCAUGCCCCUUAUGACCUGGGCUACACACGUGCUACAAUGGAUGGUACAACGAGUCGCGAAACCGCGAGGUUUAGCUAAUCUCUUAAAACCAUUCUCAGUUCGGACUGUAGGCUGCAACUCGCCUACACGAAGUCGGAAUCGCUAGUAAUCGCGGAUCAGCAUGCCGCGGUGAAUACGUUCCCGGGCCUUGUACACACCGCCCGUCAC